rnacentral:rRNA from 1 species
GUUAGUGGCGGACGGGUGAGUAACACGUGGGCAACCUGCCUGUAAGUUGGGGAUAACUCCGGGAAACCGGGGCUAAUACCGAAUGAUAGAGUGUGGCGCAUGCCACGCUCUUGAAAGAUGGUUUCGGCUAUCGCUUACAGAUGGGCCCGCGGUGCAUUAGCUAGUUGGUAGGGUAAUGGCCUACCAAGGCAACGAUGCAUAGCCGACCUGAGAGGGUGAUCGGCCACACUGGGACUGAGACACGGCCCAGACUCCUACGGGAGGCAGCAGUAGGGAAUCUUCCGCAAUGGACGAAAGUCUGACGGAGCAACGCCGCGUGUAUGAAGAAGGUUUUCGGAUCGUAAAGUACUGUUGUUAGAGAAGAACAAGGAUAAGAGUAACUGCUUG